GAUGAAGAACGCAGCGAAAUGCGAUAAGUAAUGUGAAUUGCAGAAUUCCGUGAAUCAUCGAAUCUUUGAACGCACAUUGCGCCCCCUGGCAUUCCGGGGGGCAUGCCUGUCCGAGCGUCAUUUCUGCCCUCAAGCACGGCUUGUGUGUUGGGUGUGGUCCCCCCGGGGACCUGCCCGAAAGGCAGCGGCGACGUCCGUCUGGUCCUCGAGCGUAUGGGGCUCUGUCACUCGCUCGGGAAGGACCUGCGGGGGUUGGUCACCACCAUGUUUUACCACGGUUGACCUCGGAUCAGGUAGGAGUUACCCGCUGAACUUAAGCAUAUCAAUAGCGGAGGA
rnacentral:misc_RNA from 1 species